rnacentral:rRNA from 1 species
AACGAACGCUGGCGGCAUGCCUAACACAUGCAAGUCGAACGAGACCUUCGGGUCUAGUGGCGCACGGGGGCGUAACGCGUGGGAACCUGCCCUUAGGUUCGGAAUAACUCCCCGAAAGGGGUGCUAAUACCGGAUAAUGUCUUCGGACCAAAGAUUUAUCGCCUUUGGAUGGGCCCGCGUUGGAUUAGCGAGUUGGUAGGGUAAAAGCCUACCAAGGCGACGAUCCAUAGCUGGUCGGAGAGGAUGAUCAGCCACACUGGGACUGAGACACGGCCCAGACUCCUACGGGAGGCAGCAGUGGGGAAUAUUGGACAAUGGGCGAAAGCCUGAUCCAGCAAUGCCGCGUGAGUGAUGAAGGCCUUAGGGUUGUAAAGCUCUUUUACCCGGGAUGAUAAUGACAGUACCGGGUGAAUAAGCACCGGCUAACUCCGUG